rnacentral:tRNA from 1 species
GCUGCUCAGGCCCAGAUAGCGGGGCACCUGUUUGGUAAACAGAAGAUGGCGAGUGCGAUUCUCGCGAGCAGCU